rnacentral:rRNA from 1 species
AACGAACGCUGGCGGCAUGCCUAACACAUGCAAGUCGAACGAAGCCUUCGGGCUUAGUGGCGCACGGGUGCGUAACGCGUGGGAAUCUACCCUUUGGUUCGGAAUAACAGUUGGAAACGACUGCUAAUACCGGAUGAUGACGAAAGUCCAAAGAUUUAUCGCCAGAGGAUGAGCCCGCGUAGGAUUAGCUAGUUGGUGUGGUAAAGGCGCCCAAGGCGACGAUCCUUAGCUGGUCUGAGAGGAUGAUCAGCCACACUGGGACUGAGACACGGCCCAGACUCCUACGGGAGGCAGCAGUGGGGAAUAUUGGACAAUGGGCGAAAGCCUGAUCCAGCAAUGCCGCGUGAGUGAUGAAGGCCCUAGGGUUGUAAAGCUCUUUUACCCGGGAUGAUAAUGACAGUGCCGGGAGAAUAAGCCCCGGCUAACUCCGUGCCAGCCGCCGCAGUAA